rnacentral:rRNA from 1 species
AUUGAACGCUGGCGGAAUGCUUUACACAUGCAAGUCGAACGGCAGCACGGGGGCAGCCCUGGUGGCGAGUGGCGAACGGGUGAGUAAUACAUCGGAACGUGCCCGGUCGUGGGGGAUAACGUAGCGAAAGUUACGCUAAUACCGCAUACGAUCUGAGGAUGAAAGCGGGGGACCUUCGGGCCUCGCGCGAUCGGAGCGGCCGAUGUCAGAUUAGGUAGUUGGUGGGGUAAAGGCCUACCAAGCCGACGAUCUGUAGCUGGUCUGAGAGGACGACCAGCCACACUGGGACUGAGACACGGCCCAGACUCCUACGGGAGGCAGCAGUGGGGAAUUUUGGACAAUGGGCGCAAGCCUGAUCCAGCCAUUCCGCGUGCAGGACGAAGGCCUUCGGGUUGUAAACUGCUUUUGUACGGAACGAAAAGGCUCUGGCUAAUGCCUGGGGCUCAUGACGGUACCGUAAGAAUAAGCACCGGCGAACUACGU